rnacentral:lncRNA from 1 species
ACACACACCGGCGUACUGGAACCUCUCUCGCGAUCCCGCACCCAGCUUGAAUUCAGCAAGAAUCGAAAACAGGUGUGCCCCCGUGGGGCGGUUCGAAGAUGGCCGAAUAGGAACAGCUCCAGUCUGCAGCUCCCAGCUUGAGCGACACAGAAGACGGGUGAUUCCUGCAUUUCCAACUGAGGACUGCCGAAGCUGAGAGUAACUACCCCUGGUUUCAUUUCCAACUCAUGAAUUUUUCGCCAUCCUUCUCUGCCCGCCUUUCCUUUACUACACAGUGAGCCGCACUCCUGGAACAAGCUUCCCUUGAAGUUCACCCUCUGAGCGCCACGGCCCCUCUCCAGCCUGCAUUCCACUGUAAGGUUGAGAAAUAUCUGAUUGUUAGUGAUGAGAGAGAAAACCUAGCCUCAUUCUCUGGUGGCCUGUCUUGCAAAAGAGAGAUGAAAUCAAACCUGGCUUCCUGAG